GGUCCUUCUGCAGGCCUAGCCCUCCCUCAAAGCCUCCCCAUCACUGCAGCUUGAGAAUACAGAGCACUUGCCUGCAGCCAUGAGGUGGGGAAGCAGGAGAUAUAUUGUCCUUCACUUCAGGCAGCAAUAUAUCUCAGACCAUUCUGGCCCAGUUGAAUUUGUCAACACGCACAUGGCACGUGCUGUGGCCAUGUGAAUGUCAACACUGCACACAAGCUGCAGGGAACAGCACCGCAGCCACAUGCACCUUGGGUAGAGCAAGUGCCACACCUGGAAAAGCAACAAGAUGGCAGCAGAGCAGGCAAGCUGCUUCCCCGCUGCGCCACCACAGCUGAUGAGGUAUCUGAACAGGGCUACUACUUUCAAGACAAGAUUGCAGUUGUACAAGAAGAGAAGGCAGCAGCAGAAGAUUGCAACUCAGCACCACCCUGAAAGAUCAGAAAAUCAGAGAAACUGAGAUACCAAGUUCUGGUUGGAUACUUGUGAGAAAGCAAACUCAAAACAAAAGAGAAUCUCAAUUGAGACACAUGACUCUGAAUAAGUCUCUGUAAUUUUUUUUUUAGGGGGAGGGUCAAAUUAUGUUGUUUGGUUUCAUUAGAAGAGGAACUAAGUUCUGAGGUACAAAUUCCUCAAAUUCCCUGUCUAAUUGUUGUUGUAUUUGUAAUCACUGUUGUAGAGGGGGAAGUGGGAGGGACACAAGGCAGGAUCGUACUGCCAUUGGAGAAAAACCCCUCCACAUCUCACAAUAAAUUGUUACACAUGCUU